AGAGUUUGAUCCUGGCUCAGCCUGAACGCUGGCGGCGUGGCUAAGACAUGCAAGUCGUACGGGUGUAGCAAUACACCAGUGGCGGACGGGUGAGUAAUGUAUCGCUAACGUACCCCGAAGUCUGGGAUAGCUGCCCGAAAGGGCAGGUAAUACCAGAUGAAAUAUCCUUUUCGCAUGAUGAGGAUCUCAAAGGGAAACCGCUUUGGGAGCGGGCGAUAUCGUAUCAGCUAGUUGGUGAGGUAACGGCUCACCAAGGCGACGACGCGUAGCCGGACUGAGAGGUUGGCCGGCCACAUUGGGACUGAGACACUGCCCAGACUCCUACGGGGGGCUGCAGUAACGAAUCUUCCGCAAUGCACGCAAGUGUGACGGAGCGACGCCGCGUGUGGGACGAAGUCCUUCGGGAUGUAAACCACUGUCAGGGGUUAGAAAGUUCUGAUCAACCCCAGAGGAAGGCACGGCUAACUCUGUGCCAGCAGCCGCGGUAAGACAGAGGUGCCAAGCGUUAGGCGGAAUCACUGGGCUUAAAGCGUGUGUAGGUGGGCAGGUAAGUACCUUGUGAAAUCCCACGGCUUAACCGUGGAACUGCUUGGUAGACUGCUUGUCUUGGGCCAUCUAGGGGCGAGCGGAACAAAUGGUGGAGCGGUGAAAUGCGUAGAUAUCAUUUGGAACGCCAAUGGUGAAAACAGCUCGCUGGGGAUGCGCCGACACUGAGACACGAAAGCCAGGGGAGCGAACGGGAUUAGAUACCCCCGUAGUCC
rnacentral:rRNA from 1 species